rnacentral:rRNA from 1 species
GUCCUUGCCGUAAACUAUGUAUACUUGGUGUAACUGGACUCAACCCUAGUUGUGCCGGAGCUAACGCGUUAAGUAUACCGCCUGGGGAGUACAGUCGCAAGGCUGAAACUCAAAAGAAUUGACGGGGACCCGCACAAGCAGUGGAGCAUGUGGUUUAAUUCGAUGCAACGCGAAGAACCUUACCCAGACUUGACAUGCAGUAGACCGAUCCAGAAAUGGAUCUUUCCUCGGGACUGCUGCACAGGUGCUGCAUGGCUGUCGU